CCUCUUUUCUCAAGGAAGAAGUUCUGACGGUACUUGAGGAAUAAGCAUCGGCUAACUCUGUGCCAGCAGCCGCGGUAAUACAGAGGAUGCAAGCGUUAUCCGGAAUCACUGGGCAUAAAGCGUCUGUAGGUUGCUUAUCAAGUCUGCUGUUAAAGACCAGGGCCUAACCCUGGGAAAGCAGUGGAAACUAGUAGGCUUGAGUGUGGUAGAGGUAGAGGGAAUUCCUGGUGUAGCGGUGAAAUGCGUAGAUAUUAGGAAGAACACCAACGGCGAAAGCACUCUACUGGGCCAUAACUGACACUGAGAGACGACAGCUAGGGGAGCAAAUGGGAUUAGAUA
rnacentral:rRNA from 1 species